GACCUUUACAUUUUAAUCAAAUUAAGGCAUAAUAUUUGGUGCUAAUAUAGCUAUAGUAAUAAACGUAAUUUAGAAUAGAGGUUGCGGACUCGGGGGCAGUACCCGACGCCUCCACCAAUACAUAAGAAUGUUAUUCCCGCAUAGGGUGGAUUAUUGUUACAUGGCUUGCUUAUGUCAUUCCCGUGUAGGCGGGGAUCCAGAAAAAUAACUUAAAUAUGGAUACAGAAGUUACAUAUUUGAUAAAAUAAACAUAUAUAAAAAACAAGUUUUUUAUAUGUUUUACUGGAUCCCCGCCUACACGGGAAUGACAUAAGCAAGCCAUGCAACAACGCUCCCAUAUAAGAAUAACAUCAAAAUCUUGGGGGCGAAAUAGGAUCGACGUGCCUAAUAAAAAGAUUGCUUUUACUCGGGAUGAUUCCGCCGAUGGCUUUUGCCAUAUGGGUCAAAACAAAGAAACGCAAACGAUAAUAAUCGUUCUGGAGGUCGUUUAGCUUUAGCAGCUUAACCCUUACGCGGCUGGAUGGUUUGCCGGGCAACAGAAAAACCCUCACG
rnacentral:tmRNA from 1 species